rnacentral:rRNA from 1 species
UACAUAGGUCUCAAGCGUUGUUCGGAUUCAUUGGGCGUAAAGGGUGCGUAGGCGGCGCGGUAAGUCGGGUGUGAAAUCUUGGAGCUUAACUCCGAAACUGCAUUCGAUACUGCCGUGCUUGAGGACUGGAGAGGAGACUGGAAUUUACGGUGUAGCGGUGAAAUGCGUAGAUAUCGUAAGGAAGACCAGUGGCGAAGGCGGGUCUCUGGACAGUAACUGACGCUGAGGCACGAAGGCGAGGGGAGCAAACGGG